GGGCUCGCGGCCUAUCAGCUUGUUGGUGAGGUAAUGGCUCACCAAGGCGUCGACGGGUAGCCGGCCUGAGAGGGUGACCGGCCACACUGGGACUGAGACACGGCCCAGACUCCUACGGGAGGCAGCAGUGGGGAAUAUUGCACAAUGGGCGGAAGCCUGAUGCAGCAACGCCGCGUGAGGGAUGACGGCCUUCGGGUUGUAAACCUCUUUUAGCAGGGAAGAAGCGAAAGUGACGGUACCUGCAGAAAAAGCGCCGGCUAACUACGUGCCAGCAGCCGCGGUAAUACGUAGGGCGCAAGCGUUAUCCGGAAUUAUUGGGCGUAAAGAGCUCGUAGGCGGUUUGUCGCGUCUGCUGUGAAAUCCCGAGGCUCAACCUCGGGCCUGCAGUGGGUACGGGCAGACUAGAGUGCGGUAGGGGAGAUUGGAAUUCCUGGUGUAGCGGUGGAAUGCGCAGAUAUCAGGAGGAACACCGAUGGCGAAGGCAGAUCUCUGGGCCGUAACUGACGCUGAGGAGCGAAAGGGUGGGGAGCAAACAGGCUUAGAUACCCUGGUAGUCCACCCCGUAAACGUUGGGAACUAGUUGUGGGGACCAUUC
rnacentral:rRNA from 1 species